GACGAACGCUGGCGGCGUGCUUAACACAUGCAAGUCGUACGGUAAGGCCCUUUCGGGGGUACACGAGUGGCGAACGGGUGAGUAACACGUGAGUAACCUGCCCACAACUUUGGGAUAACGCUAGGAAACUGGUGCCAAUUCUGGAUAUGUGCUCCUGCUGCAUGGGGGGGGUGGGAAAGCUCCGGCGGGUGUGGAUGGACUGGCGGCCUAUCGGCUUGUUGGUGGGGUAGUGGCCUACCAAGGCGGGGACGGGUAGCCGGCCUGAGAGGGUGAACGGCCACAUUGGGACUGAGAUACGGCCCAGACUCCUACGGGAGGCAGCAGUGGGGAAUAUUGCACAAUGGGCGCAAGCCUGAUGCAGCAACGCCGCGUGCGGGAUGACGGCCUUCGGGUUGUAAACCGCUUUCAGCAGGGACGAAGCUUUUUGUGACGGUACCUGCAGAAGAAGCACCGGCUAACUACGUG
rnacentral:rRNA from 1 species